AUCCAGGUGACAAGUCCCAAAUAGGACGAAACGCGCAUUCUGGAU
rnacentral:hammerhead_ribozyme from 1 species